GCUUAACGCGAAGAACCUUACCUACCUUUGAAUCCACGGAACCUAGCAGAGAUGUUGGGGUGCCUUCGGGAACCGUGAGACAGGUGCUGCAUGGCUGUCGUCAGCUCGUGUCGUGAGAUGUUGGGUUAAGUCCCGUAACGAGCGCAACCCUUGUCCUUAGUUGCCAUCAGGUUAUGCUGGGCACUUUAAGGAGACUGCCGGUGAUAAACCGGAGGAAGGUGGGGAUGACGUCAAGUCCUCAUGGCCCUUACAGGUAGGGCUACACACGUGCUACAAUGGGCAGUACAGAGGGAAGCCAACCCGCGAGGGGGAGCGAAUCUCAUAAAGCUGUUCGUAGUCCGGAUUGGAGUCUGCAACUCGACUCCAUGAAGUUGGAAUCGCUAGUAAUCGCGGAUCAGAAUGCCGCGGUGAAUACGUUCCCGGGUCUUGUACACACCG
rnacentral:rRNA from 1 species